UUUUUGCCCCUAUCGUCUAGUGGCCGAGGACGUUUCCCUUUCACGGAAAAAACGAGGAUUCGAAUUCCUCUGGGGGU
rnacentral:tRNA from 1 species